AGGACUACAUAAUUGUAGCACACCAAGUUCGGUGGCAUCUGGAGGCCCUAUGCACGGAGCUUUCGUGAAAAGCAGAGUGAAUGAAGGCUGCCUCGCCUACGGUCACGGUGGUCGAGGCUUUCACGCCUACCUCGCGUGCCGCGCCUCGUAACGCCGGAGCUCGGGUAGGGACGCUUCGCGGCGUCCUCCCGACGUUAAGAUCUGUGUGCGUUCGCAGCCCCCGGCAGCACGAAUGCUUUUCUGGUCCGUUCUGUGCGGCGCAAAAGCGCACAGGACGGCCUAAGGCACGCCUCGUUAGCUUCGUUCCUAAAGGACGCCGCGCGGCCUAGUUCGCAAUGUACGACGGCAGACGAUCGACAUAUAUGUGCGCCUAGCCGGCGCGCUCGACGCACGCAAAAAGACGCGGUACUAUCGCGCCGGAGCUCCAUUAGACAGGUGUAAAAGGUUACGCGUUCCGUGCUCAGACGCUUUUUUUUUUCCCCCGGCCCAUUCCGAUACUACAAGGGCUUAUUUGCCGUGACUGGUGAGUGUAGUACGCCUAUAUAAUCGGCAUUUCCCUCCCCCCUUCAAAAAAGGGAAAGAAAAGCAAGCCGUUACCGAACUCGUUGAUCUCUAUUGCACGAUUGCUCGCAGGACAGAAAGCGAAGAACUUUUCUUUUGCAGCGCACAAUGCACACACUCAUCUUUCGCUGUUUUACGACUCCCCCCUUUUGUUUCUCUGUAGCUUCCCCUCUUUCCCCAUUAUUCUUUUCUCGCCUCAACAUGUGCCGUUCUAGCAGAUAGAAGGCGUACGAGAUGAAGCGAGCGACGCAGCCGUCGCUUCGCUCCGGUCCAGCGCUCCCGCCAGCCCCGAAGAGAGAGAGGAAACAGUGCGUUGCCGGACGCUUGUCGGCACUCCGGGAAACGUCAAGCGAGGCAGAGAUACGGGUUAAAAAAAUAAUAAUAAUAAUAAAAAAAAUAAAAACCAUGGCACCGCCACUACGCCAUUUGCACAAUGAGGAGCGAGAGCCAGCGUGUCUACUGCCGGCGCGCCAAUCGCGUGCCGUGAAGCGAGCAAACGCGAGCGCAGCGCAGAAGCGCCACAACGCGCGCGCCGGAGCCUCCUCACUCGCUUAUAACAACAAUGGAACAAAAAGAAGAGACAGACAGAGAGAUAAAAAAAAAAAAAAAAAAAAAAAAAAAAACUCCCUACCGCGGCGCGCGGAUCCAGCUGCCCGCGCCGAAUUCGCGACUCUUUUGAGUCCAGCAACUCAAAAGAACGGAGGCCGUGACUAGCCGUGACGAUUGUAUUUUUUUGCAGAACUCGCAGGGACUCCCCUCUGCGGCGACAGCUGCGACCGGCUAAUCGUAUUCACGCUGGAACACUGCGGAUGACACUGGCUAUGCAUCUCCGACGCCUGGAUUCUACGCGUGAAAAACGACCAACUGGCAGUCAGUACUUCAAUGCACUGACUGGCCCAAUCUUGAGCUCUUAACCAACAAAGUGUGAAAUAGAUGAGGACAGUGAAAAGAACACAACAGUAAUUUACAAGAUGAAUGGAGGAUCGGACGAGUUUGCAACUGUGUCUCUUCAUGUGCACUGUGAAACAGACAAGCGGGAAGACCUCUCUCUUUGGAGUUUGGAGUUAAAUAGAAGGUAUGCGACAUGCUUUGGCUCUUGAGAUGGAGCCGAUAAGUUACACUCGGGUAAAUACAAGGUAAGAACAUGUGCACUGGCAUGCUCAUGAUUGGCUGAUACCACAGCUUCAGCUGCAGAACCACAUUACAGAGCUAUGGCAUAUACAUCCUGUCUCAUAAGAGCAACAUCGUUAUCCAUAUACUAGAUAAUGAAACUAUCUUGUCAUAAAAAAAAAAAAUUUCUCAAUUUCCUUCAUGCUCCGGCCAUAUAUCUACUUGAUCUCCCUUCUCCAUCAAUCCUUCAGCCUCCUCUUGCCUAUCUACACCUUUUGUAGAUUAAUCUCCCCCUGGCAGCUCUGAAAUCCCAAUGCUCCUUGAGCCUUCACACUUGUUUUGUUCAGUUCAGGCUGAAAGGAAUCCAACCUUAUGAAAAUAUGUCUCGUAUCUUGACCUUAAAGGGCCCCUCACCAAGUCUGGCCCCUUUGAGCUGACAAGCGCAGAGCAUACAAUGCGCGAUAACGAUCGUGUCUGCGAAGUAUUACAUCGCUACAUGCUGUGGAAAGACCUGAAAGUUCAAACUGAACGCCGUUUUCUCUUGUCCUUGCAGCCGCCAGGCUCCAAGCUGGAGAAUGACGUACACGUGCUAGUGCGCCUACGUAGAUGUGUUCACGUUGCGACGUUGCUCGUGGUGACACGUGACUUCAAGAAUUAUUCGGGGCAACAUCUGUUAUUUGUGUAAUAUGUUACUAGAAUAGACGAAUUAAAGCUUAGAGAAAUAAUAAAACACACAAACCGAAUGUCUGCAUGUUUUUGUUUUACUUCUCACAGCAGCAAGAGAGAUGUACUUCCGUAUCGUCUGCUUGUUCCCACGUCGUGCAGUUGCGCGCGCAGACACUGAAACUGUCAUUUUCUAUUGCGUUCCAGCACGGGAUCAUGCUCUGUAAUCGGCUUGUGUCUGCCUCAGUAUUCAUGUAGCACAGACUUGUACCACUAGUCAGGUGUCCUCAUCCACCACGAGCAAAAUCAUGCGCUCUGUGAAAUGAGAUAAUCGCAACUGCUCGUGUGCACUGCCGUCUACGGAAGGGCGCCGCGCCGCAAGAGAGAGGCGGGGCCCGUGAGGUAUGCGUCAUGCGAUCCUCAAUGUCCGGUAUGGGAGAACGUAAAGGAGGGAAUUUCGCUUGCGGAGGCUAGACAGGGAAAGUGGAGACAGUGUCUUGCUUGGCAGUGGAGCUCGCCUUCUGAUAUCAUGGGUUCGCGGCACUGAAAUAUUUCUAUCUCGGCUAUUAAUGAGCCGAUUUGAAAAAAUUUUGCGGCAGAACGCUCCCUAUAGGACAUGCAACAACUUCCAGUGUAUAACCGAAGUUUGCUGUGUGGCCUGGUGAGGGCCCUUUAAGUGCCACCUAGUGUAGCAAGCCAGAUUUUGACGGGGGAGCAGGCACAUAUAGGCUGGUCUGACUUUGCACCAAUGCAGAGACUAACAGCUUCAAAUAAGAGUUGGCUGUCUAAGUAUGCAACAUUACGAGGUUUUAGCAUGUCUGUAAAUGUCUUGCCCUUUGCAACAUAUUGGGUUACCAAAGAUGUGGACAGAAGUAGCAACAUUGGUAGAGACAUCUUGCAACGCCUCAUCCACCCACAACAUGUCAAAUGUUUUUGUCCGCAUGAGUGUUCAUGCCUAGAGAACAGUUAGAAAACAAUGCAUGUUAAUGAUUAUGCCACUGCCAACACUUUACACCAGGAGCUUAGUAGGAUAUGGUUGUCACUACAAAAAUAGCUCUGUGUCCCUGGUUAAACAAUGCGCCACAAUACGGUGCAACCAGUGUUGCUAUUGCUGUUCGUGUCUCCGGUUACUAGGUAUUCCGCAAGGUGCACUAUCUUUAUGGACAAGCUAAAGCUCAAUAACUUGCUGCAGGCCCUGCAGCGCUCCCAAGAAAGCUUGUUGGGUGGAACCAAUAGCAUCACCAUGAUGUAGCAAUAUCGUGUACUUUGUGCGAUGAACGUGACACCGAUGUGUGGCACUACGAUCAUUGGUAAGAAUGGUAAUGUGUGAUUUAUGUUUGCACAAUAUUGCGAGUACUGCGAAAAAAAAAAAAAGAAACAUGUUUUACGAUCAUAGUAAUAAUUGCCUAAUUAUUACACAAUCACGAGCAAGAUGUUGUAGCUAUGGGAACACUGCAUCAACAUGCUGAGCACAUGAUGUGGCAACAUCCACCUCGCCGAAGCUGGACUGUGCACCACCCUAUCGUGGAGGGGGUAGCUAUGCCAUCAACAAGCUGAGCAACCAUGGACCGCUGGCUUCUGCUGCGCAACAUCAACACCCUGCUGCUAUUGUACGCUGCAGUUUCACAUCAUGGGAGAGUGAAAUGUGGCAUCCGGAGCUACAAAUAUUCUAGUCAAGGUAACUAAUUUUGCUUGUAUUUUGAAUUUCCUGUGACAAAUAACUUGGGUUUGUGUGCCUUAGUUAUCAUACAGAAAUUUCAGUUUUGGCUCCCAGAAGGUGCAUGCGUAUGUGAAAGGUGGUCGUUACGUGGGGGCAGAAUAUUGCACUGUUUUCACACUCUCUUCAGCUCGCAUGCCAUCGGGCUGUGCAAGCAGUGGCAGCAUAGCAGACGACCAAGAUAGUUGGAGCAAGUGCCAAAAUGUCAAUAUUCUGCUGCCACCUUCCUCAUCACAACACAUACAUCUUCUGGGAAAUGAAACAAACUGGUUUGUAGAGAAAGUCUAGUAAAUUGUUUAGGGCACCUGAGGAUUACCGGUAUUCUUGGAAAGGCUUUGAGUAGAGGAUCUACACUUAACACAAAUAAUGAAAAAUCUGAAAUUUCAUGUCAGUGCUCCAUUAAAAGCACAAGUGUGUGGCCAGUCUCGAUU